rnacentral:rRNA from 1 species
AGUGAACGCUGGCGGUAGGCCUAACACAUGCAAGUCGAACGGCAGCACAGUAAGAGCUUGCUCUUACGGGUGGCGAGUGGCGGACGGGUGAGGAAUACAUCGGAAUCUACUUUUUCGUGGGGGAUAACGUAGGGAAACUUACGCUAAUACCGCAUACGACCUACGGGUGAAAGCAGGGGAUCUUCGGACCUUGCGCGAUUGAAUGAGCCGAUGUCGGAUUAGCUAGUUGGCGGGGUAAAGGCCCACCAAGGCGACGAUCCGUAGCUGGUCUGAGAGGAUGAUCGCCCACAGGGGAAAGGAGACCGGGACCGGACCCCGAGGGGAGGAGGAAGGGGGGAAUAUUGGAAAAGGGGGGAAGGCCGGACCCCGCAAUCCGGGGGGGGGAAAAACGGCGUUGGGUUUGAAAACCCUUUUUGUGGGAAAAAAAAAGCAGCAGUUUAAUCCCCGGCUGUUCGGAGGGUCCCAAAAAAAAAAGCCCCGGCUAACUUCGUC